AUGAACGCUAGCGGCGUGGAUAAGGCAUGCAAGUCAAACGGUCCGUCUUCGGACGGGCAGUGGCAAACGGGUUAGGAACACGUAGAUACAUUCCACUAAGACAGGCAUAACUCAGAGAAAUCUGAGCUAAUUCCUGAUAGUCCCUGCGAGCAAUCAAAGGGUAAAGGUUUCGCAAGACUCCACUUAGUGAUUGGUCUGCGGCCUAUCAGCUAGUUGGUGAGAUAAUAGCCCACCAAGGCAAUGACGGGUAGGCGGGGUGAGAGCCCGACCGCCAACAAGGGUAUUGAGAUACGGACCCUACUCCUACGGGAGGCAGCAGUCAAGGACCCUUCGCAAUGGUCGAAAGACUGACGGGGCGACGCCGCGUGAAGGAUGAAGCCCUGCGGGGUGUAAACUUCUUUUAUAUGUCAAGAAAAUGACGGUAGCAUAUGAAUAAGCACCGGCUAACUCCGU
rnacentral:rRNA from 1 species